rnacentral:rRNA from 1 species
AACGAACGCUGGCGGCGCGCCUAAUACAUGCAAGUCGAACGAGAAGGUGUAGCAAUACACUUGUACAGUGGCGAACGGGUGAGGAAUGCAUGGGCAACCUACCCUCGAGUGGGGAAGUAACCAGCCGAAAGGUUGGCUAAUAACCGCGUACGCUUCCGGGUCUCCGGAUCCGGAAGGAAAGUCACACCGUGGGUGUGACGCUCAAGGAUGGGCUCAUGUCCUAUCAGCUUGUUGGGAGGUAACGGCUCACCAAGGCAACGACGGGUAGCUGGUCUGAGAGGACGAUCAGCCACACUGGCACUGCGGACACGGGCCAGACUCCUACGGGAGGCAGCAGUAAGGAAUAUUGCGCAAUGGGCGAAAGCCUGACGCAGCGACGCCGCGUGGGGGAGUGAAGGUACG